rnacentral:ncRNA from 1 species
AGAUACCGUGCGGGAGAGUCCUCCGCCCCCCGGGGCCGGGGGCGCCGAAGGAGCAAAUCCUCCCCGGAAUCUCUCAGGCACCCGUACCGCACGGGCGAG